GCACAGUAGUAGCUUCUUCUGUUUAUUUUAGAAAUCUUAGUUUAUAGGUUUCCUUUUCGUCUCUUGUACUAAUGUUCAGGGUAAUGGAAAUCUUGUAUGAUAAUCUGCACAUAGUUGAUACUAACAACAGAAUGAUGACAUGUUUGUUUUUGGGCAUAAAGUUAUGUGUUGAUCCUCUUGCAUUUGGAUUCCGGUCUUACCCUGACUAUGCGGAUAUGCUAUUCUAGGUUGGUUUUACGUUUCUUAUUGGAAGAGUGAGAUGCCCAGGACAGAAUCCAGUUUGUAUCAACGCCUCAUUGAAUAGAAUCAUGUAGAUUCUGCUUCAUACAAGCUUCAUAAAGAAAUAGUUUUAAGGGAGGACUUCAAAGAGUAUUUUGCCAAAUUUGGGAUGGAGGGCAGUCAGCAUCCACCUCGAGGCAGAGGGGUGGGCAGAAGGACGGUCGGUGUUCAACUCUCUACGGUUCAAAACCAAGUCCAUCCAAGCCUCAAAGUAUAAAGAAGGCGCCUAGACACUCGAUGGGUGGUGUAAACCGUAGGGUGUCCAUUGGUGGAGCCACGAUGCAAGCAUCCAAAACAGACAUAUUGUAUACGAAGAAUGUUCAUGCUGCCAAGAGAAGUGAAGACAUUGCCCAUUUGUCCCCUGGGUGGGCGUGUAACUAGAGAACAAAACACUAUGGCGGCAAAUGAGACUAUCGAACCGAACUGAUUGUACUGAAAACUAGGACCUAAACUUGUGUUGCUGGCCAACCUUUUCUUCAGGGAAUGCCAAGAUAUUCGCCAAACAAAGCCAUAGGAUGGUGCUAUACACAGAGGACAACCUAUCAGGGAGUCCACUAAUGACCAGAUGGGUAUCUUGUCGCUCAUCUACAGCAAGUCGGGCUCCAGUGUGUUUGGGUCAGCGUCCACGGAGGAGCAGAUAACUGACGACAUUUACGUUGCCGGGCUCACUAUCCUCACCACACGUGACCACAACCCACCCAACCGACUGUUACAAUGGUCAUGGAGCUUCUUGGAUUAAACUUGCAAAGAGUAGUACUGGAAAGCUUCAUUUUCGUAAGAUGCUCUGGUAUUUCCGAGUAGAAGAAAGCAAAGCCAACAAGGGUCGUUAGAAAUUAUUAGUACUCUACAAAAUUUGUAACACAUCAUAUUAAUUGGGAACUCAAAUCUUGGUUGCAAAAAUUAGAUCUGUGCUAUAAAUGCAGGCAAUACAAAAGGUAGGAAGACCAUACGAAGACCAAUACAAAAAGGAGGAUGCAUGAGCUUCAGAUCUGAUUGAAUUUAGUCAGAAGAUGGAGACUUGAAGGAGGAAUUAGUGGAGAAUGGGAAGGUGGAUAGAACAUGGGAACAAAUCAAAUACGUUAUUCCUAUGAGGGGAGUGAGUGGAGACAGAAAUGAGUGCACGUGGAGCAGCUGCUGCCUAUGAGGCGAGUGAGUGGAGACGGCCAGAUCUAUGCGGCGGAGGGGCUAUAGAAGCUUGAACGAAAGAUUCGUCGCCAGCAUCGGAGCAAUUUAUUGGGCAGAUCGACACUAAAUCUCCUGCAUGGACGUGAAGGCAUGUCUUUAUUAAGUUCAAUCUUUGAAAACUUGGCAUGUGACGCUGUGUAAAAAUAAAAGAUGCUAGAAAAUUGUCUCUGGCCAAUUUCGUAUGUAGCCGUGAGCAUUGCUAAUUUCUGUCAACAUGAACGAUAUUUGGUCUGUUUAUAUAGCUACCAUGUGCUGAACAAAUUGUCUGAUUAAUGUAAUACUCCUGAAUA